UGGAUUAAAAGCAAGUUGUAAUAAUGACUGCAUACGGCUGAACACAAAAGCACUUGCACCACACAGGCGUUUGGGAACAACAUCUUCCAGAGCCAGGCUACUGUCUGUAGCCUGUGUCCUUUGCUCUGAUAGCUCUGAGGCCGUGGGCUGUUGCCGUUCUUGCUGAUGCAAUGCAGCGAGGGCUGGGGUGAAGGAGAGUGCAUACCUGUGUGUCAGAGGUAGGAGCUCCCCUUUGGCGAUGAUGGAAAGCACAGCAAAUUCAAAUCAAAGAUGAGAGGGGGUUGCUUUGAAUUGCUGUAUUCCAGAUGUAUCUGAGGCAAUCUCCCUCUUCACUGCACGUAUCGUGGUAGCAAGAGCAAAGAUCACAGCGUAGCCCAGGUUUUCAUUUGAACAUGUCCAGGCUGGCACACAGUUGAGGUGUCCAUUUCAUCUCAAAGGUCUUUCCUGGCUUCCUUUUAAUUGAAAUUCUUCACCCAAGUCUCACAUUCCUGAUUCUUUCCACUGCAAAGCCAUCAAAACCUUCCAGGAGGCUCCUAGUUUUCCUUGCAAUUCAAUAUGAUUGAUACAGGAUGUGAAAGAUCACUGGAUGUUAUCAACUACAGAUUCUCUCUCCUUGAAGCAGCAAGCUACAGGAUAAAUUGUGGAAUUCACUACUGCACCGCAUUAUUGAAGAAAAUAUUGUAUUUUGAAGAAAGUGCUCUCAAUUGUAAUCACCAAAUGAAAGCUUCCUGUGUGAUGUGCUGUGAGGCAUGAGAGGACUGGGGUCAGUGAGGAGUCUUCCUUGGUCCUUCUGUUUUCCUGUCCUAGAGCAGCAUGGUGCUGGGAGUAUUGCAGAGCCUUCAUCCCUUGGCAAGUCUCACCCCAUCAGACCCGUUACCAAGCUGCUAGUCAUCCAUCUUUAUGAAGCAGGAGCUCAGACACUACAGAAGAUGGACCGUGGAUGCAUUUACAAUUAUAAAGUCUUAGAUGGACUGUGCAAAAUGAGAUGGGACAGGGAGUGACCACUACUAGACACCAGGCCUCACUGGAGUGACAAUUAAUUCAGAGCACCAAGAGAGAGGGAAAUAUCUGACUGGCUGGAGCGGUGGUCUGAUGUGACAUGGCAGGAAGCAUGAUACUAAUGCAAAUCGUUAGUACUUAUUAACUAAUUAAAUUGUUGUAAUGCCCAUAAGGCACUUAACACUUUCCAGGCGCAGAAGAGAGCCCAGUCUCUGCCCUUAGGAGUAGAAGGUCUAAAAAGGUAAACACAGAGGAAUGGUGGAAGAAAAACAAUUAACAUAGAGCACAAAGGGUGUAAUGAGAAGAAGCGCAGGGCUUUGCAGUUACAAUCUAUGUCUGGUUUUGUGAAGAAAGAAAGCCUAUGUGAUUACAAGAACUUUGUGUAUGGGGGAGCAUGCGUGUAUGAUAAUAUGUCUGUCUGGUGCGUGGAUAAUUUUCAACUUCAAGCAAAUUUGAUGGAGGAGAAGCUGUCUCAGAAAUACUUAGUUGUUAAAAUGAGAAGCUGAGGGAAGGGAAGGGAAGGGAAGGGAAGGGAA
rnacentral:lncRNA from 1 species